GCGUUAUUCGGAAUUAUUGGGCGUAAAGGGCGCGUAGGCGGUGCUGCAAGUGGAAGGUGAAAUCCCUCGGCUCAACCGAGGAACUGCCUUUCAAACUGCAGGACUUGAGUCCGGGAGAGGUGAGUGGAAUUCCCAGUGUAGCGGUGAAAUGCGUAGAUAUUGGGAGGAACACCAGUGGCGAAGGCGGCUCACUGGACCGGAACUGACGCUGAGGCGCGAAAGCGUG
rnacentral:rRNA from 1 species